GACGAACGCUGGCGGCGCGCUUAACACAUGCAAGUCGAGCGAAGCGGCGGACGGGUGAGUAACACGUGAGUAACCUGCCUUAGACCUUGGGAUAGCCUCGGGAAACCGGGAUUAAUACCAAAUGGUCUAAGAUGGACUCGCGUCCCAUUGGCUAGUUGGGAGGUAACGGCCCACCAAGGCGACGAUGGGUAGCCGGCAUGGGAGGGGGAACGGCCACAUUGGAACUGAGAAACGGUCCAAACUCUACGGGAGGCAGCAGUGGGGAAUAGUGCACAAUGGAGGGAACUCUGAUGCAGCGAGGCCGCGUGAACGAAGAAGGCUGUAGAGUCGUAAAGUUCUUUUAUAUGGGAAGCGGUACCAUAAGAAAAAGCCCCGGCUAACUACGUGCCAGCAGCCGCGGUAAUUC
rnacentral:rRNA from 1 species